UGGGAAAUUUUCAGUAUUUUCGAAUUUCGAAAGAAUGACAAAAUCUAACGCAACAACUAAUCGUUAAUUGCUAACGUUGACAGUUCUUCCUUUCAACAACUUUCUUCAAAUGGAAUAUCAACAGAAGCAAUUUACGAGGUUCAAUUUCUCAAGCAGCGAUCAUAGAACUGGAAUUGGAAAUAAACCUAUAUUUUGAUCAAUAUUUGUAACAAGAUUAGGACCUUCCCACCCAACUAAAGAACCAACAAGGAAGCAAACUUUUGGAAUGUCAUCAUCUUAUUUGGCAUCAAGUAUUCAGUAAUUAGUCAUAAAACGUUAACAAGCUGGAAUGUGAAACAGUUGAUUACACUAAUUUCUCUUA